rnacentral:rRNA from 1 species
UGCGUACUAUUAGCUAGUUGGUGGGGUAAAGGCCUACCAAGGCGAUGAUGGUUAACCGGCCUGAGAGGGUGUUCGGUCACACUGGAACUGAGAUACGGUCCAGACUCCUACGGGAGGCAGCAGUGAGGAAUAUUGCGCAAUGGGCGAAAGCCUGACGCAGCGACGCCGCGUGGAGGAUGAAGGUCUUCGGAUUGUAAACUUCUGUUAAGUGGGAAGAAAGGGCUGCUUUUAAUAGAAGCAGUUAAUGACGGUACCAUUAAAGAAAGCACCGGCUAAACUCGUGCCAGCAGCCGCGGUAAUACGAGUGGUGCAAGCGUUAUUCGGAAUAAUUGGGCGUACAGGGUGUGUAGGCGGUAUGUUAAGUCUGUUGUUAAAGACUCCGGCCUAACCGGAGACAGGCAGCGGAAACUGGCGUACUAGAGGGUGGAAGAGAGAAGUGGAAUUCUCGGUGUAGCGGUAAAAUGCGUAGAUAUCGAGAGGAGCACCGAUGGCGAAGGCAGCUUCUUGGUCCAUACCUGACGCUGAAACACGAAAGCGUGGGGAGCAAACAGGAUUAGAUACCCUGGUAGUCCACGCUGUAAACGAUGAUCACUAGACGUUGGUUCUGUUUUACAGAAUCAGUGUCGCAGCUAACGCG